rnacentral:rRNA from 1 species
GACGAACGCUGGCGGCGUGCUUAACACAUGCAAGUCGAACGGUGAAGCGCCUUCCUUUUUGGUGGGUGUGGAUGAGUGGCGAACUGGUGAGUAACACGUGAGUAACCUGCCCCCUUCUUCUGGAUAACCGCAUGAAAGUGUGGCUAAUACGGGAUAUUCUGGGUCUGUCGCAUGAUGGGUCUGGGAAAGAUAUUGUUUCGGUGGGGGAUGGGCUCGCGGCCUAUCAGCUUGUUGGUGGGGUGAUGGCCUACCAAGGCGGUGACGGGUAGCCGGCCUGAGAGGGUGGACGGUCACACUGGGACUGAGACACGGCCAAGACUCCUACGGGAGGCAGCAGGGGGGAAUAUUGCACAAUGGGCGCAAGCCUGAUGCAGCGACGCCGCGUGAGGGAUGGAGGCCUGCGGGUUGUGAACCGCUUUCGCCAGUGAAGCAGGCCUGCCUCGUUUGUGGGUGGGUUGACGGUAGCUGGAUAAGAAGCGCCGGCUAACUAUGUG